AGAGUUUGAUCCUGGCUCAGGACGAACGCUGGCGGCGUGCUUAACACAUGCAAGUCGAACGAUGAAGCCUCUUCGGGGGUGGAUUAGUGGCGAACGGGUGAGUAACACGUGAGUAACCUGCCCUUCACUUCAGGAUAAGCCUUGGAAACGGGGUCUAAUACUGGAUAUGACUCAAGCUCGCAUGGGUUUGGGUGGAAAGAGUUUUUGGUGGGGGAUGGGCUCGCGGCCUAUCAGCUUGUUGGUGAGGUAGUGACUUACCAAGGCGACGACGGGUAGCCGGCCUGAGAGGGUGACCGGCCACACUGGGACUGAGCCACGGCCCAGACUCCUACGGGAGGCAGCAGUGGGGAAUAUUGCACAAUGGGCGCAAGCCUGAUGCAGCGACGCCGCGUGAGGGAUGAAGGCCUUCGGGUUGUAAACCUCUUUCGUCAGGGAAGAAGCGAAAGUGACGGUACCUGAAGAAGAAGCACCGGCUAACUACGUG
rnacentral:rRNA from 1 species